CAUCACUAAGUCACUGAAAGCCACAGCUCUGGUUUCCCAAAUGGUGCUGGACUAUACAAGAACUUGCCUUGGUCCUGAGAUGGGCUCCAGGCUCUUCGUAGUGGUUUUGAGUCUCCUGUGUGCAAAUCUCAUGGAGGCUGCAGUCACCCAAAGCCCAAGAAACAAGGUGACAAUAACAGGAAAAAAUGUGACAUUCAGCUGUCACCAGACAAAUAACCACAACUACAUGUACUGGUAUCGGCAGGACAUAGGGCAUGGACUGAGGCUGAUCCAUUACUCAAUUAGUGCUGGCAGCCAUGAAAAAGGAGAUGUCCCCAGUGGAUACAAGGUCUCCAGACCAAGCCAAGAAGAUUUCUACCUCAUGAUAGAAUUGGCUUCUCCCUCUCAGACAUCUAUGUACUUCUGUGCCAGCAGUGAUGCACAGCGGUGUGUGGCUUCUUCCCCUCUGCACAGAAAGUAAAUUCGGAAAACAAGUUGCCUGUGGGUUUCAGGAAGUCCCUGCUUCUCGAGGAGUCACUGAGCUCUGACAAACUAGAAACCUUAUAGCAUGGGUUUCUAUCUGCCUGAAGGCCAUUCUCUCUUUUUUGAAAAGCAUGUUCUUUCAUUGAAAAAGAAAGUAAAAACAUUUUAUGAUAAAAUUGAAGA